rnacentral:rRNA from 1 species
GACGAACGCUGGCGGCGUGCUUAACACAUGCAAGUCGAGCGGAGCGGCGAACGGGGGAGUAACGCGUGAGUAACUGCCCCCCUCUCUGGGAUAACAGUUGGAAACGGCUUCUAAUACCGGAUAGUGGGGCCUGACUCGCGUCCUAUCAGCUUGUUGGUGGGGUAGUUGCCUACCAAGGCGACGACGGGUAGCCGGCCUGAGAGGGCGACCGGCCACAGUGGGCUGAGAUCAGUUCCAAAGCCCUACGGGAGGCAGCAGUGGGGCAUUUUGCACAAUGGGGGAAACCCUGAUGCAGCAACGCCGCGUUCGGGAUGAAGGCCUUCGGGGUGUAAACCGCUUUCAGCCAUGACGCGGUAGUGGCAGAAGAAGCACCGGCUAACUACGUGCCAGCAGCCGCGGUAAUUC